GUUAUUUUCAAUCUAAGCCCUCCCUCUUUGGAAACCAAAAGAAACCCUAGCUCUCCUCCUUCUCUCACGGUUUAAAAAAAAAAAAAAUGGAAAUUUCAAAAAUUAUCUAGAAAUUAAUUACUAAAAUCAACAAAUCUGUUAGGGUUACAAUUCGAAAUUCACUGAUUCAAGCCCUAUUUCAUGUCUUAUUCAUGUAAUGUUCACGGUUUGCUCGAUAAAUCAGAAUUUGGGGGUGGUUCGAACCAGAUCUGAAAAUGUAUGAUGGGAUUUGAAAAUUGGGAGUUUCGGGUAUUGGUGUUUGGACUGAGGCAUUGUUGAUGGAAAAUAGAAUAGGAAGUCCUCAUGAAGCGGAAAUUCCUAAGAAAUCGAGAUCUUUGGAUCUCAAGAGUCUUUACCAAUCCAAGGAUUCAAAAGAUGCUGGAACUAAGAACUUGAAAAGGAAGGGCAGUGUAGAUGUUAGCGGUGUUGAGAAGAGACAUGAGAGGAAGAAGAGUAGAAAAGCGGUUUCCAUCAGUAGUUUCAGAAAAGUCAAUGGCAAUGGCAGCAAAAGUUUGGAGGAAGUGUAUAAUGGCAGUCUGAGUUCAGGUUCACAUGAUUCAAAAGAUUUAAAGCCGGGGUCGAAUCAACGUGUGAAUGACAGUAGUGGGUUUAGUAGCAUUUCACAAACUUUAGAUGGUAGUUUUAUCCAAAUCCCUAGGCGCAAACGUGGUUUUGUAGGCCGAAGAAAAGUUGAGAAUUUUAGUCAAGUAUUGAAGCCUGCGGGGCUGUCUACUGAUAAAGCAGGCGAUGUUGACAAGCCUUCUAAGAUUGCUGGCAGAGAUGUGAAGGUUAAACAGAAGAAAGGCUCUGAUGAUUUUAAAGAAAACAGAAAUGGUGAAACAAAUUCUGGUAGGCAUUUUGAGGAAAAAGACAAGCUUCCUGAUCUUCCUGUUGUAAACAGUGGUGAUUUAUCUGUGAAGAAAUCUCUCAAUGGCCAUUAUGUUGAAAGUAAUGGUGAUUCAUCUUCAAAAAAGUCACUGCGGAAACGGAGUAGGAAGAGGAAGGAUUUGGCAUCUGAUGAUAAGAGUGUCGCUAAGGAGGCUGAGCCAUCGAUUGAUACUUCUGUUAAGAAGAGUGAUGAUUUGCAAGAUGAUGAUGAGGAGAACCUUGAAGAGAAUGCAGCAAGGAUGCUAUCAUCACGGUUUGAUCCAAGCUGCACUGUUUUUUCUUUGAAUAGCAAAGGCUCUUCCUUGCCUUCUACAAAUGGCUUGUCUUUUUUAUUAUCGUCUGGUCAGGAGUUCAUUGCCCAGGGGUCUAACUAUGUCUCUGGAUCUGAAUCUGCAUCUGUUGAUACUGCUGGUAGAGUAUUGCGACCCAGGAAACAGCACAAAGAGAAGGGUAAUUCAAGAAAACGGCGCCAUUAUUAUGAAAUUUUUUCUGGGGACUUGGACGCGUAUUGGGUGUUGAAUAGGAGAAUUAAGGUCUUUUGGCCUUUGGAUCAGAGUUGGUAUUAUGGCCUCAUCAGUGAGUAUGAUAAAGUGAAAAAGCUUCAUCAUGUAAAAUAUGAUGAUCGGGAUGAAGAAUGGAUUAAUCUCCAGAAUGAGAGAUUUAAACUCUUGCUGCUUCCUAGUGAAGUACCAGGUAAGCCUCAGAGAAAAAGAUCUGUGACAAGAGUGAAGCGCUCGAAUGGUGAAAAGGGAAAAUUGAAGCUCAGCAAAGAGAAGAAGAAAGACUCCACUACAGAGGAUGAUAACUAUGUAGGGAACUACAUGGACUCAGAACCCAUCAUCUCAUGGUUGGCCCGAACUACUCAUAGAGUCAAAUCUUCCCCUCUCCGUGCCUUGAAGAAACAGAAAAUGUCUAGUCGAUCCUUGACGUCUGUGACUUCAUUGUUGCCUGAUGAAACUGUAAGCAGACACGACAGCUCAGGUGCAGGUUCUCAGAACAGGGAUAAAAUCAACUUACCUGGUAAUUCUGCCUUUGCAGAUAGAUUUGCUGCCGGUGGAAGGAUUGGUUUGUUUCCUACGGAAAGUCCCAUCAAUUCCAAAGAUAGGAAGCUUCGUAAUGAUAACAAGGUUCCUGUUGUUUACUAUAGGAGGCGAUUUCGGAAUGUGAGCAGUGUGCUACAUAACACAUGUAAAGACAAUCAUGUCUCCACUAGCUUACCAGACGCUGAUGCUUCUCUUGGCCCUGUCAUUGCUUCUGGAACUUUGGUAAAACAAGCUAUUUCUCUGAGAAGAUUGAAUCCUGAUGAAAAUCUGGAAAGGUUGGAUACUGUUGAGGUUUUAUGGUUGAGUGAUGUUAGUGGGCUUCUGAAAGUAAAUGUUCAAUUGGUUGAAUCAAGACAGUUGUGGUUUCAGUUAAACCUCCCAUUGGUUUCCAUCUGUGAUUGCUUGUUGGGCAUGGAUAAUACUUGGUUCUUUCAUAUGUUAUUACUGCUUCAAUAUGGUACGCUGAUGACUAUGUGGCCGAGGGUUCAUUUGGAGAUGCUUUUUGUAGAUAAUAUUGUUGGAUUGAGGUUUUUUUUGUUUGAAGGUUGCUUGAAGCGGGCAAUAGGUUUUGUUUUCCAUGUCCUUGAUGUAUUUCAUCAACCUAGUGAGCAGGGAAAAUAUGCUGACUUGCUGUUGCCUGUUACUUCAAUCAAGUUCAAAUUCUCUUGCAUCCAAGGUUUCAGGAAGCAGCUUGUGUUUGCAUUCUACAGCUUUUCUGAAGUGAAGAAUUCAAAAUGGAUGCACCUGGACUCUAGGCUCAAAAGGCAUUGUUUGCUUACUGAGCAGUUACCUCUAUCAGAAUGCACUUUUGAUAACAUUAAGGCACUUCAAAAUGGAACCAAUCAGUUGGUCAAGUCUUCUGUUUGCGGUUAUCCAUGGAGAAUUAAGGGUCCAAUAAGGAGGUCUAGGCAGUGUACAAGUCUUGCAGGUGUCUCCAGAGAUUCCACUUAUGUAAAUGCCAAUUCAUCUUCUGCAUAUUUUGACAAGUCAGAUGGAUGGUUCCCUCCAUUUGCACUUUCUUUUAGUGCUGCACCCACUUUCUUUCUCGGUUUGCAUCUUAAGCUGCUUAUGGAACAUAGUGUGACUCACAUCAGCUUUCAGGAUCAUGUUUCAAUAGAGCAUCCAGAUAAUUCUGAUAGUUUGCUAGACGAAUGUUCUAGUGUGGAGGACUACUCAAACAAAGAUUCAGAAAUUACUUCUUGUAAUAAUUUCAAGGUUUCUUCCAGGGAUGCUAAUUGUGAUGAAUGCCUAUCUUGUGGUAAAGCUGAGCCACAAGCUAUUGGCAUUUCUGCUAACAGUGUUGGAGAUUGGAUGACGUCCUCUCCAAAUAACUUUAAUAAUGUUGCAAAUGUUGGAGCUGCUGCCAGCUCCAAGGAUCCUGGAAAAUUUGCAAGUGAUGCUAUUGACGUGCCACAGAAGCAGUCAUCGCAUCAUUCAGGUUCAGAACAGCAAGGCUUAUCAGUGAAGCCAGCUGCAGAUAAGUGUAGUACUGGUUCUCAUUCCCUUCUGAAUGGUAUUACUGUUGAAAUUCCACCAGUCAAUCAAUUCGAUAAGCAUGUUGAUAAGGAGUUACAUGGCGCCCAACAAUCUACUGACUUGUCUUGGAAUAUGAAUGGCGGCAUUAUCCCCAGUCCUAACCCUACUGCUCGCAGAAGUACCUGGCAUCGAAGUAGAAGCAGUUCUACAUCUUUCGGAUACCUUGCACAUGGAUGGUCAGAUGGAAGGGGCGACUUUGUUCAUAAUAAUUUUGGCAAUGGACCGAAGAAGCCACGAACUCAGGUAUCUUAUGCAUUGCCUUUUGGGGGUUUUGAUUACUGCCCAAAGAAUAAAAGCCAUUCUCAGAAAGCGGUUCCACAUAAACGAAUUAGGACGGCUAGCGAGAAGAGAUCAUUGGAUGUUUCUAGAGGUUCUGAAAGAAACUUGGAGUUGUCUUGUGAAGCAAAUGUAUUAAUCACACAUGGUGAUCGAGGGUGGAGAGAAGGUGGGGCACAGGUUGUGGUAGAGCUUUUUGAUCAUAAUGAAUGGAAGCUUGCUGUAAAAAUUUCAGGCACUACAAAGUAUUCAUACAAGGCACAUCAGUUUCUGCAGCCGGGGUCAACGAACCGAUAUACACAUGCAAUGAUGUGGAAGGGAGGAAAGGAUUGGAUAUUGGAGUUUCCUGAUAGGAGUCAAUGGCUUCGUUUCAAAGAGAUGCAUGAAGAGUGCCACAAUCGGAACAUCCGUGCAGCACUAAUUAAAAACAUUCCUAUUCCUGGUGUUCGCUUGAUAGAGGAAAAUGAUGAUGGUGGAAUUGAAAUUCCAUUUUUGCGGAGUUCAUCUAAGUACUUUCGGCAGGUUGAAACUGAUGUUGAGAUGGCUUUGAAUCCAUCAAGGGUGCUAUAUGACAUGGAUAGUGAUGAUGAUCAAUGGAUGUUGAAAAAUCAAACUUCUUCUGAAGUCGCCGCGAGCUGUUUGUGGGAGAUCUCUGAGGAAAUGUUUGAGAAGACAAUGGACAUGCUUGAGAAGGCUGCAUAUUCUCAACAACGUGAUCAAUUUACAUCAGAUGAAAUUGAAGAGCUCAUGGCUGGUGUGGGCCCAUUGAAAGUAGUGAAAAUUAUAUAUGAGCAUUGGCAGCAGAAAAGGCAGAGGAAAGGGAUGCCUUUAAUCCGUCAUCUCCAGCCACCGCUAUGGGAAAGGUAUCAGCAACAGGUGAGGGAGUGUGAGCUAGCAAUGGCUAAAUGUAACACUGCCCUCCCUAAUGGAUGCCAUGAGAAGGUUGCAACUACUGAGAAGCCUCCCAUGUUUGCUUUCUGCUUGAAACCACGGGGGCUGGAAGUGCCUAACAGGGGAUCCAAACAGAGGUCUCAGAGAAAAAUUUCAAUGUCUGUUCAAAACAAUAACUUCCCAGGAGAUCAUGAUGGUUUCCAUGCUUAUGGAAGAAGAUUGAAUGGAUUUGCUUCUGGUGAUGAAAAAUUUGUGUAUCAAGGACAUAACUAUGAACCUUUAGAUGAUUCUCCAUUGUCUCAGAUAUCACCAAGGGUUUUUUCACCUAGGGAUACAGGCGGCAAAGGAUAUUUUUCAAUGAGCGGUGAUCGGUAUGAUAGAACUCAUAUUCAUAAACUUUACAGGAACAAGUCAAAGAAACCCGGAGCGUUUUUGUUUCCUAAUGAUGCUCAGAUGGUUGCUUCAUAUAAUCGGAGAAUGUUUGACAAGAGAAAUGGAGUUAAUAGGUGGAAUAUGGGCUUUUCUGAGUGGCGAAGCCAGCGGCACUACCACUUAGAUGGGCCUCCAAGCCAUGGCCCUGAACAAUUUGAUAGUUCUGAUCUUGAUGAGUUCAGGUUGCGUGACGCUUCUGGUGCAGCGCGGCAUGCACUUCAUGUGGCUAAACUAAAGAGAGAAAGGGCUCAGAGAUUGCUCUAUAGGGCAGAUCUAGCCAUUCACAAGGCUGUGGUUGCCCUUAUGACUGCUGAGGCAAUUAAAGCUUCUUCUGAGGACAUAAAUAGUGAUGGGUAGAAUUAGAAAGCAAGAUGAGAUGAUAAGGGUAGGGAAAAUCUGCCAACCCUUCACCAUGUGUUUCUGCAGCCAGAGAAUCCAGUUCUAGAAUUGAAAUUUUUUGCUGGAGCAUUGUGAUGUUUCCUUUCUCCAUGGUGGUGGUGGCCUCUGUUAUGUAGCACUGAUUCCAGAGGACUUAUAAUUGGAGGGUUAUUGCAGGUGGAGGGGAGAACUUUUUUGCUUCUGCCUCCUUACGUUGUCAUUGUUGUGACAUUUUUGGUGUGACUUCACGGUGUUUCUGUCCACUAGUGUCGUUUUGGUAUCCAAAGGAGCAGGUUCACAUGCACGGACCCUGAAGGGGUGAGGGGUGUUUGGAAUUUUGGCUACCGGUACCGGUCUUUGUACAGAUUUUUUCCCCUCCUCUUCUCUUUUUUUUCUUUUUCUUUUCUUUUCUUUUUUUUUUUUUCAGUCUUAACCUUGAUAUCAUAGUAGCAGUUGGCCAAAAUAAUACAACACCCCUAUGAGUUGAAUUACAAAUUCCUGUCUGAUUGAAUGUUGGAGCAUUCACUAGAUAGAUAUGUGACAAUGAGAACAUGUCUCUUGAAAAAGAAGAGGGAGGAUGCUUAUAGUUGCUUGGAAAAAUAUAACCAUCGACUACAGAUAUGGACAGAAAACUUGACAGAUUUUGAGUUACGGAUAGAUGGUAUUCUAUAUGCUCUCAAAACAAUGUCUCGUUAAGAGCUGCAGUCCAGGACCAAGGGGUUGAAUGGAGCAGUAGUCUAUUUUUAUUUUCAGCAUUUAAUUUAGUAAUAUCGUUUUAGUUUCUGAGAAGAAGAUCAUUAAGCUUUAGAACUACAUCUCAUAGCAGGAAGGAUGCUCAUUUUAAAUGUUCCCGAUUACUGGUGGAGUGAGUAUGGGUAUAUGUGCAAAACCAUUUGUAAAAUAAAAUCAAGUAACUUAAAUUUUAUUAUUAUUAUUAAUAAAUGAUGGAAUUGAGAAAUUUCACUCCA